AGCGAACGCUGGCGGCAGGCCUAACACAUGCAAGUCGAACGAACCUUUCGGGGUUAUUGGCGGACGGGUGAGUAACACGUGGGAACGUGCCCUUAGGUUCGGAAUAACUCAGGGAAACUUGUGCUAAUACCGAAUGUGCCCUUCGGGGGUAAGAUUUAUCGCCUUUAGAGCGGCCCGCGUCUGAUUCGCUAGUUGGUUGAGGUAAUGGCUCACCAAGGCGACGAUCAGUAGCUGGUCUGAGAGGAUGAUCAGCCACAUUGGGACUGAGACACGGCCCAAACUCCUACGGGAGGCAGCAGUGGGGAAUCUUGCGCAAUGGGCGAAAGCCUGAAGCAGCCAUGCCGCGUGAAUGAUGAAGGUCUUAGGAUUGUAAAAUUCUUUCACCGGGGACGAUAAGGACGGUACCCGGAGAAGAAGCCCCGGCAAACUUCGU
rnacentral:rRNA from 1 species